UGACUAUCACCUAGUUUAAAUAUCUAUCUCCCACAACAUAGCAGAGUUUAGGAAACUGAAACCCUACUUUGAAGGAGGCCCCGACCUCUUAGUAGCCAAAGCUUGGAUCCUAUAGAUAGAGAAGAUUUUAUUUGUCUUAGACCUAACUGAGGAACAAAAGGUUCCCCUAGCAGCCUUCAUCCUAACUGGAGAAGUCGAAUAUUGGUGGCGGCUUAAGAAGGAAGUCUUACCUACCCUUACAACUUAGGAAGUUUUCAUGGAAGCUUUCUUUGAAAACCUCUUUCCUGU
rnacentral:lncRNA from 1 species